rnacentral:rRNA from 1 species
UACGGGGGGGGCAAGCGUUGUUCGGAAUUACUGGGCGUAAAGGGCUCGUAGGCGGCCAACCAAGUCGGAUGUGAAAUCCCCAGGCUUAACCUGGGAACUGCAUCCGAUACUGGAUGGCUUGAAUCCGGGAGAGGGAUGCAGAAUUCCAGGUGUAGCGGUGAAAUGCGUAGAUAUCUGGAGGAAUACCGGUGGCGAAGGCGGCAUCCUGGACCGGCAUUGACGCUGAGGAGCGAAAGCUAGGGGAGCAAACGGG